GAUGUAGCUCAGUGGCACAGUGCUAGCCUAGCAUGUUUGAGGCCCUGGGUUUGAUCUCCAGCAUAGGCA
rnacentral:tRNA from 1 species